CCUACGGGAGGCAGCAGUGGGGAAUAUUGCACAAUGGGGGAAACCCUGAUGCAGCGACGCCGCGUGAGUGAAGAAGUAUUUCGGUACGUAAAGCUCUAUCAGCAGGGAAGAUAAUGACGGUACCUGACUAAUAAGCCCCGGCUAACUACGUGCCAGCAGCCGCGGGAAUACGUAGGGGGCAAGCGUUAUCCGGAUUUACUGGGUGUAAAGGGUGCGUAGGUGGCAGGGCAAGCCAGAUGUGAAAGCCCGGGUCUCAACCCCGGAAUUGCAGUUGAAACUGUCGAGCUGGAGUGCAGGAGAGGAAAGCGGAAUUCCGAGGGUAGCGGUGAAAUGCGUAGAUAUUAGGAGGAACACCAGUGGCGAAGGCGGCUUACUGGACUGUAACUGACGCUGAGGCACGAAAGCGUGGGGAGCGAACAGGAUUAGAUACCCCUGUAGUC
rnacentral:rRNA from 1 species